UACGUAGGGGGCGAGCGUUGUCCGGAUUUAUUGGGCGUAAAGGGUGCGUAGGCGGCGCGGUAAGUCGGGUGUGAAAUCUUGGAGCUUAACUCCGAAACUGCAUUCGAUACUGCCGUGCUUGAGGACUGGAGAGGAGACUGGAAUUUACGGUGUAGCGGUGAAAUGCGUAGAUAUCGUAAGGAAGACCAGUGGCGAAGGCGGGUCUCUGGACAGUUCCUGACGCUGAGGCACGAAGGCCAGGGGAGCAAACGGG
rnacentral:rRNA from 1 species